rnacentral:lncRNA from 1 species
UUUAGGGGAAUGGAGAACAGUGUUGGUUAAAGGUGGAGCUGUCACAAGGUUCUUGUAAGGUAUAAAUGGUCUUCUAGGUACAUUGAACAACAAGGACUUCAUUUGUUUAGCUAAAUUGAAAGCAUGAGUUAAUGUUUUGGGGUAGAACAUCCAGACUGUUUUGGAGAUUUCGGGUUUCAAAUUACCAGAAAAAAAAAUCCUGAGAGCAUUAUCAUCCGAAAUAGACACCAA